rnacentral:rRNA from 1 species
GUUUGAUCCUGGCUCAGAACGAACGCUGGCGGCAGGCCUAACACAUGCAAGUCGAGCGCCCCGCAAGGGGAGCGGCGGACGGGUGAGUAACGCGUGGGAACGUGCCCUCUUCUACGGAAUAGCCUCGGGAAACUGGGAGUAAUACCGUAUACGCCCUUAGGGGGAAAGAUUUAUCGGAGGAGGAUCGGCCCGCGUUGGAUUAGGUAGUUGGUGGGGUAAUGGCCUACCAAGCCGACGAUCCAUAGCUGGUUUGAGAGGAUGAUCAGCCACACUGGGACUGAGACACGGCCCAGACUCCUACGGGAGGCAGCAGUGGGGAAUCUUAGACAAUGGGCGCAAGCCUGAUCUAGCCAUGCCGCGUGAGCGAUGAAGGCCUUAGGGUUGUAAAGCUCUUUCAGGGGGGAAGAUAAUGACUGUACCCCCAGAAGAAGCCCCGGCUAACUCCGUG